UACGUAGGGGGCAAGCGUUGUCCGGAUUCAUUGGGCGUAAAGAGCGUGUAGGCGGCAAGGAAGGCCGGUUGGGAAAACUGGAGGCUCAACCUUCAGAGGUCGACCGAAACCAUCUGGCUAGAGUCCGGGAGAGGAGAGUGGAAUUCCUGGUGUAGCGGUGAAAUGCGCAGAUAUCAGGAAGAACACCCGUGGCGAAAGCGGCUCUCUGGAACGGUACUGACGCUGAGACGCGAAAGCGUGGGGAGCGAACAGG
rnacentral:rRNA from 1 species